CUGAGUGGGUAUGGGUAAACCUUAACGUAGAGCGCCACUGCCGCCGCAACGUCAGUGCCGCAGGACAUCCCGGAUGUCGACCACUCAUCGGCCUGACACUGCAGCUGCAAGAAUAAUUGCAGAAUAAGAGCCAGCUACUUUAGUGCCCAGGAGGGUGAAGUAUACAAUGAGAUUUAAAGCUGGAACGAAACAUCCAGCAGCUAAACCGCAGUCCGAGUCACAAGGAGCAGUUGUUUCAGGUAAAUACGUGGGUGAAGUGCCAUGGUGCACUACCGGGCAGACCUCCCCAAAUGGCAAGGGCAGAGCACUGGCUUUCCUGUCACUAUCAGGGAUGUGGUCAACACAAGAAUAUUUUUCCAAAGAAACUCCAGCAAGAAGAGGACCUGUCACAUGGCCAUAGGCAAGCACCUCUGAGGAAGAAGAAAUAAAUGAGGGAUAGCUUUUUAAAAGUACA
rnacentral:lncRNA from 13 species